rnacentral:misc_RNA from 1 species
GGAAGACAUAGAGAACCUCGGGUGAGCUUUUAAAUAGGAGAGCCACGCAAACACAAACAGCAGCAAUGGCCACCAUCGAAAGCAUUGCAGGUCUGUAAACCAGAGACGCGCUAGACGGUGUUCCACAACCCAGCGGUUUCCUGACACAAAGCUUGCAAUGCUGCUGACUAGGUUUUAGUUCCAUCCUACCAAUCUCAAACCUGGAGGAGGCCAAAUCGGUGUUUGGCUUUUGAUUCCAGCUACUAUCCGAGAGAGAACUAGGAAUAUCCAGCACUACAUGCCCAGCUGCAGAUCUCUUGUUGAUUUU